CCCUUAGAUGUUCUGGGCAGCACGCGCGCUACAAUGGUCUUCGCAAACGGAUGCAUUCUCGAAGGAGAAUGCCAAUCUUGGAAUCUAUGCCUUGGUCGGGACAGUUGCUUGCAAUUUUUCGACUCGAACCAGGAAUUCCUUGUAAUCUUGAUUCAUCACAUCACGAUGAAUACGUCCCUGCCCUUUGUACACACCGCCCGUCGCUCCUACCGAUCGAAGAGUUAGGUGAAUUGUUUUGAUCGAUAAGAUUUGACUAUGGUCAACUCUCGUUGUGAAAUUCUGUGAAUCUGACUGUUUAGAGGAAGGAAAAGUCGUAACA
rnacentral:rRNA from 1 species